CUCCAACGUUGGAGGGAUUUACAUAAAGAAGAAGAAGAAUGCAGACAACAAGCUGGGUUAUUUUACGAUUUUUGUUCAUUUUUUCUUCUUCUUCUUCUUCUUUCAGUACAGAGUCGGACUCUUCUUGAGUGUAUAAAUGACUCUUGCUCGUGAAAUCAUGAGGCCUUCCCUCCUCACUUAAUAAAAACUAUUUACAGGAAAAUUAUUUACAAAUAAAACUAUGUACAUCUGGGGUCAAAGGAGAUCUAGGUGUGUGAAGCUCCUGUCAAGGCCUCUGGCAGGAUGGUAAGGCUGGCCUUGAACUCUUCUAGUGUAGCUGCUGUUGUGGCUUUUUCCGGUAGAGUGUUCCAUUCCCUGGUUGAUCUUGGGAAGAAGGAGUACCUGUAUUGGUCUUUUAGAGUGCGCUGUUGGUGUAUGCGGUGGCCUCCUCUGGUCCUUGAAUCUCCGGGUUUGUAAUUAUUAGAGGGGUCAAU
rnacentral:lncRNA from 1 species